CGCCGCCAACCCGGAAGGAGCCCCGGGGGGCCGGCGCGCCCGCCAGGAGGCCUGCCAGGUGCCCACCUGAGCCCGGCGCUCCGCGCGCCUAGCCCUUUGUGGGGCGGGGUGUCAGGUCGGAGGUGCCCUCCCACUUGUUGCAGACUGGGGAACUGAGGCCGGGGCGUGGGCUCAGAGGCAGUCACGGCCUGAAGCCGCCACGCCUGAGCUAGGAUGCGGGGGCCGUCCUCCCCUCUUGGGGAUCCAGUCCCCAAGGCGGGAGAGCACCACCCCUCCAUGCAACAAAGACUUCCUGAGCAGUGAGCGCCACUGUGUGCAGGUCGCCUCACCUCCGAUUCACAUCCUGUCUUGGUUUAAUCUUCAAACCACUUUGGGCAAGAUGAGUGAGGCACAGAGAGGAAAUGUCAUCUACCUAAAGCACUCCAGCAGUGGUUGGAAGAGUCAGGAUUUGAACCCAGAUCUCCUGGCUUCAGAGGGAGUAAGCUCUUAAGAAGAAUUAAGGAAGAGUGCAGACAGCAUGUUGGUCUGGGCCUGCGUUUCCCUAACUGUAACAAGGCUAAUCUGUCUCAAAGAAAUUCACCAGCAAGCCCAUCUCAUUUGUUUGCCACCAGCCAUUAAAAAUAUUUUCCUUCAGAGAAGGAAAGAGAUUCUGGGAAAGAGAAGGAAUGCUCGGAGAAGAUAAACACUCACGUGAAGCUCGCCUUUAAGGUGUCAUCACAUUGCAACAUCCACAGCAGUGUGAGGGCUGAUCGCUGUGGGUGCAAGCCGAAGUUAGCAAGGGGGAGGACGGUGGGAAAGAGAGGGGCUCUGGGGAAGUCUCUGGAAUAACUUCUGUGCGGCAUGCCUUUCUCCCCCACCUCUCUGUCCUGCACUGAGUCUCUGGAGUGCCGCAGCCUUUGCAGUCGAGUAACAAACACACUGCUGACGGUGAGGGUAGCGGCCUCUGGAACUUACACAACUGUCUAAGUGUGGACGAUCCGUUCCAGAAGAGAGGUGACUACCAAGCAAACUUCUCAAACAAGUUAAAAUCAUUGUCAGACUGCAGUGAGCAUCAGCACCAUUCAGGAAGCUUCGCUGGGAUUCUGACUUGGCAGGUCUGGGGCGGGGCCCAGGAAGCUGCAUUCUGAACAAGCACACCAGGAACUCUGAGGCAAGCGAUCCAGGCACCCCUCUGAGGAGCACGGCUGUGGUGGUGUUCUUUUCUUGGGCUGGUCUGUGCUCCCUUUUCUCCCAGCCAUAACCGGCUGGGGCAGAGAGACCUCACCUGGCAAACCAUCUCCUGAGAAUUCGGAACUGGGGCUCACAGAACCAGCAGUGCGCGUGCUGGAACCAGCCAGAUCAGAAGCUUGGCUCAUAGAUUCUUUGGCUUCUGAAGCUGCCCCCUCUCUUGGCUCUCCCAGCCCCGACUCUGGUCCUGCCCAGGCUCCUCCUAAUCCACCUGUGUCCUGAGACACUGUCCUUAGCAGCCUUCUCUGGUGACCCCAGACACAUCCUGGGAUGUCAUCCAUGCCCACAUGUCCAAGGACUGUGCUCCCCAGGCCUGAGCCUCUGCAGGUCUCAGGCUGCCUGCCCAAUGCCUACUGGACAGCUCUGCCUUGAUGUCCUACAGGGAACUCACUUAACUUAGCUCAAAUGGAACCCAGCAUUUUUCCUCUCAGACAUGGCACCAUUUAUGUUUUGUUUGUUUGUUUUUGGUGAGGAAGAUUGGCCCUAACAUGUUAGAUG